rnacentral:rRNA from 1 species
GCCUACGGGGGGCAGCAGUAGGGAAUCUUCCACAAUGGGCGAAAGCCUGAUGGAGCAACGCCGCGUGGGUGAAGAAGGUCUUCGGAUCGUAAAACCCUGUUGUUAGAGAAGAAAGUGCGUGAGAGUAACUGUUCACGUCUCGACGGUAUCUAACCAGAAAGCCACGGCUAACUACGUGCCAGCAGCCGCGGUAAUACGUAGGUGGCAAGCGUUAUCCGGAUUUAUUGGGCGUAAAGGGAACGCAGGCGGUCUUUUAAGUCUGAUGUGAAAGCCUUCGGCUUAACCGGAGUAGUGCAUUGGAAACU